UCUCCGUCAAAAAAUAAAAUCUUAAAAAAAAAAAAAAGAAGAGGCAGGAGACAGUUUAUUCCACAAAACAAACAACCUAGCUGCCUGGCCUGCCCGCAGGAGACCCAGAGCUCUUUGCACACACGCAGUCUGGAACGCUCACGGGCUGUGUGCACACUCACAGGCUCUGGAAGGCAUGCAUGGGAUCUGUACACACUUGCAGAGGCUCUGUGUGUCCACAGUUUAGAAAACACCCCCAGAGUCUGGCUGAGUCAUGCUCCAGGGUCGUUUGUCUUCAGGUGAAGUUCCAUCUUGUCCUAAUUUGUGCAAUUAGGGGGCCCCCCAUGCUACAGUGCACCUUGGAGUUCACGUGGCUCACCCCUCUUCCAUUUUACACCUUACAAGAGUGAGGCCAAGUGGGAUCGGGUGAUUUAUCUAAGGCCACAUAGCUGACAAGCAAAUUUUCUUUUGAGUUACAGAGUUUAGAGUUUGGAGGUGACAGAGAUUUGGGGGGGGGCGACUUAAAGCCGGGGAGGACUUGUAGGAAAGGGGGACAGGCUUUUGAGUCUUAAAGGCUUGACCUCAUGUCCAGCUCAGCCUCUGUCUAAUUGUGUGCCCUUUGACAAGUUACUAAACCUCUCUGAGCUCCAGCUCCCUUUGCUUUACAGUAAGAGUCAUCAAGCCUACCCUGCAAGCUUGUCGCCAGGCUUGUGAACCACAUCGAUCACAAUGCUAUUUCAUGACACCUAGCAUGGGCCAGGCUCUCUAUGCUUGUUGCUGGGGAGGCUAGGGCAGCUGGGGGUGUCUGGGGAGUUAGCACAUGGGGUAAGAUGAGAAAAACUGGUGUGUCCUGGGACCGGAAUCUUGGGAAUGCAGAAGAGAGGCACUGUGGUGCGUGUGGGGGUCCAGAUGGGGCACUGAAGAUUUCCUAGAAUUAGAAGGAUGAGUAAAACUUACCCAGGCAAGGAGAAAGGGAAAGGAGGUUCGAUUCCAUUGAGAGAACGGCUCCUUGGUGUAAAAGGAAGAAAUUCAAACACACCUGAGAAAUGCAAGUACCUACCCAUUUACUAACAGCGUAAUAAAUUACUGCUUUGGGCCUUCGACCUGCAGCGCACCCCAAGCCCCCCAGCUGAGAUUCACCCCCAUUGUGUCAUCAGUGUAUCGAAUGCACCACGGUGGAUGGUUGCCAAAGCCAUGCUUGAGGAUAGCAGGUCAUCAGGAGUAAAGUGGGAGACACUGAUUGCUGUUUUCCAGGAUGAACUGGGAUAAAGAAGGUGCAGUGCUUGACAUCAAGACUAAUACAUGAGAAGCCCUCAGUAAAUGAUAAUCACUAGUGUUGGUGAUCUUUGGGACAAACUCAAAAGCUAAGUGAGUGAGCCAAAAAGAGGCUUUACCACGGCGAAGAGGCUGGUAAUAAAAUUUAGGGGCGAGUCGGCCAGACCAUACUUCAAAACAAUUAAAAAGAAGGUGUCUCCAGGGCCAGGAGGGGGCUCGUUUGCUCAUUUUAUAUCCCCAGUGUCUAAGCACAUAAUAGACAUUACGAGUGAGCCCUGAAUGAACGGUUCGUAGCCCUUGGCCAGCACCCAGGAGAGAGAGUUGGGUGGCAGGCAGUUCCAGGAAGACACUCUUCCAUGGGUUAUUCUGGCCAAGAAAGGGCAACAGAACCUGGAACAUCAUCAGGAACUGGGUCAUUUGUGAAACUAGCAAACACAUGGAAACCCAGCAACACAUUUCUGGAAAGAGUACAGAGAGCAGAAAGUUCAGGAGAGACCAGUCUGGGGGCAGAGAAGAAGAGGAAAACCUUGGGGGAAGAGUCCUGGAGGGUCUGUGGCAAGAAACAUCCUUGUUCCACAGUUCACACCUUUGACCUUAAACUUCAUCAGAGAAUCUGUCUCACUGUGUACCAGCAGCUUAUGUAGUUCACUCUUGCAUUCAAACAAGGAUGAGGGGCUUCCCACUCAAGAAGAGGAAUCCAGGAUGCUCAGGAUGGUCUUCGAUCUGACCAGGGAAGGGACAGCCAAGGUCA